rnacentral:rRNA from 1 species
CGGCGGCCGUAACUAUAACGGUCCUAAGGUAGCGAAAUUCCUUGUCGGUUAAAUACCGACCUGCAUGAAUGGCGUAACGAGAUGGGAGCUGUCUCAACCAGAGAUUCAGUGAAAUUGUAGUGGAGGUGAAAAUUCCUCCUACCCGCGGCAAGACGGAGAGACCCCGUGG